rnacentral:rRNA from 1 species
AGGACGAACGCUGGCGGCGUGCUUAACACAUGCAAGUCGAGCGGUAAGGCCUUUCGGGGUACACGAGCGGCGAACGGGUGAGUAACACGUGGGUGAUCUGCCCUGCACUUCGGGAUAAGCCUGGGAAACUGGGUCUAAUACCGGAUAUGACCUCAGGUUGCAUGACGUUGGGGUGGAAAGUAUUUAUCGGUGCAGGAGUGGGCCCGCGGCCUAUCGAGCUUGGUUGGUGGGGUAAUGGCCUACCGAAGGCGACGACGGGUAGCCGACCUGAGGAGGGUGACCGGCCACACUGGGACUGAGACACGGCCAGACUCCGUACGGGAGCAGCGAGGUGGGAAUAUGACA